rnacentral:ncRNA from 1 species
GAAGAGCUCUACACCGAAGGGCUAGCGACCCACGGUGACCCCGAGUCAUGCGUCGUCGCUCGUGAGGGCGUCGGCGAAGCGUUGACAGGGGCACGUGCAGGCCAGGCUAUUGAGCCGCGUAAUCAUAGAGUUCGGGGCGCCGACGCUGUCUACGGAAGCGGAAGGCAACACCGUCAGUGGCGCUAUCGCGAGCCGCUGGUGGGUCCCGCGCGGUCAGAGACCC